rnacentral:tRNA from 1 species
GGAGAGGUGGCCGAGUGGUCGAAGGCGCUCCCCUGCUAAGGGAGUAGGGGGUGACAAGCCCCCUCGAGGGUUCGAAUCCCUUCCUCUCCGCCA